rnacentral:lncRNA from 1 species
AAAAGAGAGAAAGGGUUUUGACUCCAACGACGACGCGACGGCGACGACUUCGAUGACGGCACGACAACGACGACUUCGACAACGGCAACCACAAUAAUUUCUACAACAAUAGGAGAUACACAUGCGUACGCAUAGCGUAGGUGUGAUUUUUUUUGUUGGUUUGAUCAACCCGACCAUCUUCGUGAUAGGUUUCGAACCGAUCAAAUCUAACAUCAAAUCAUCACUUCCGNCGUCAUGCGUAUGUAUUAUUAAUCUCCAAGCCGUGCGGCCAUCUUCGUGAUAGGCUCGACAUGGGUACAAAAAAAUCGUGCGGCCAUCUUCGCGAUAGGCUCGACGCGAUUAAACUCCGAAAAUCACGACAAAAAAAAUAAUAACAUGAAGAAUGGUGAUAAAUAAUGGACGAGUUUUGAUUCGUCAUAAAUUUCGAGACGAGAUUUCGUAUAUUUGGACAAAUAAACAAAAAUAAAAAAAAAAUAAUAAUAAA